UUAAUUUGGUGCAAACAGUAUCCAUCGAAAGCAGAAUUCUUCUGAGGUGAAAAUUGUUAUUUAAAAAGCACUCAGCUUUUAAUGGAAAUCUGCAUAAGAUAACUUGAAAAAUUGUAAAAUAAAUGACAAACCACUAAAUAUAAAAGCACUUUACAGACAUAAUCUUACCAAUCAUGGUAUAAAAAAAUUCCAAAGCAAGAGUAACUUGAACAGAAACAUGGUGUUAGUCCCACAUUGGUAGUUCCCCUAUAUAAUAAACCCAAAACCCCAAAUGAAUACACCAGAGCUGCUUUGUUAUAACGGAAACACCAUAUUAGUCCCACAUCGUUUGAGCUCGAAAAAACUCAAAUGUUUUUAUACCUGAACAUGAGCACCAUAGGCCACGAUCUUACUUGAACAGGAUCUGUUCUAUAGGAUUGUACUACUGUGUCCUUAAUUUCUAAGGAAACAGGAACCUAAGUCUGGUGGAUGAACCAUGACCGUGUGAUCAGAGCGUGAUUAACGGCGACGAUGAUCUCCAGUAUCUGGGCAUCAUCUUCCAGCUGUAGAGGAUCGUUCUCAGCCAGUGUCUACUGAUUGCGAUGGUCACGCGGUUGUCUGACAGAUUCGAUACUUUUUUAAAAAAUUCUUUCAUGUUUUCGACUUAACACAAAAAUGGAAUUUUUUUUCGACCAAAAAGAAAAUGGAAGCUUGUGGUUGUUUGUUAUACAAAACACAUGGAAAAUAAUAGCGGGGAAAAAGUAUAUUUUUUAGAAAGGAAUGGAAUUGUGUUUACCUUGCUUUCUUCCCAAAGAGAACAUUAAAGCUUCUUGUUGUUUGUGCUUUUAUGGUGUUCUUUUGGUUUCAUUCUUAACAAAAAGACCCAUCAUAGUGCCAAUACGAAUUUCGGUGAAAACGGGAAACGUUUAGGAGAAACUGGUUUGUUCUUUUCUUUUCCAUUGUUUGAGUUUUGGUAAAGUGCUUUAUUUCAGUUUGUGGAGUUGCCACGUAACUAUGUGUGAAAAGACUUUAACUUGUGACCCGUCUUCUUUCAUAAUGUAACACUAGGACAAAA
rnacentral:lncRNA from 1 species